UACGUAGGGUGCAAGCGUUAAUCGGAAUUACUGGGCGUAAAGCGUGCGCAGGCGGUUUUGUAAGUUUGUCGUGAAAUCCCCGGGCUCAACCUGGGAAUGGCGAUGAAGACUGCAAGGCUAGAAUCUGGCAGAGGGGGGUAGAAUUCCACGUGUAGCAGUGAAAUGCGUAGAUAUGUGGAGGAAUACCGGUGGCGAAGGCGGCCUCCUGGCUUAAUACUGACGCUGAGG
rnacentral:rRNA from 1 species